rnacentral:rRNA from 1 species
CCUANGGGGGGCAGCAGUAGGGAAUCUUGCGCAAUGGGCGAAAGCCUGACGCAGCAACGCCGCGUGCGGGAAGAAGGCCUUCGGGUUGUAAACCGCUUUUGGCAGGAACGAAAAUGACGGUACCUGCAGAAUAAGGUGCGGCCAACUACGUGCCAGCAGCCGCGGUGACACGUAGGCACCAAGCGUUGUCCGGAUUUAUUGGGCGUAAAGAGCUCGUAGGCGGUUCAGUAAGUCGGGUGUGAAAACUCUGGGCUUAACCCAGAGACGCCACCCGAUACUGCUGAACUAGAGUUCGGUAGGGGAGCGGGGAAUUCCUAGUGUAGCGGUGAAAUGCGCAGAUAUUAGGAGGAACACCGGUGGCGAAGGCGCCGCUCUGGGCCGAUACUGACGCUGAGGAGCGAAAGCGUGGGUAGCAAACAGGAUUAGAUACCCCANUANUC